UAGCCCAGUCUUGAUAUGCAAAUGGUUGU
rnacentral:piRNA from 1 species